rnacentral:rRNA from 1 species
ACUCUGACCAGCGACGCCGCGUGCGGGAUGAAGGCCUUCGGGUUGUAAACCUGCUUUCAGCAGGGAAGAAGCGAAAGUGACGGUACCUGCAGAAGAAGCACCGGCUAACUAUGUGCCAGCAGCCGCGGUAAUACAUAGGGUGCAAGCGUUGUCCGGAAUUAUUGGGCGUAAAGAGCUCGUAGGUGGUUCGUCACGUCGGAUGUGAAACUCUGGGGCUUAACCCCUGACCUGCAUUCUAUACGGGCGAGCUUGAGUAUGGUAGGGGAGACUGGAAUUCCUGGUGUAGCGAUGGAAUGCGCAGAUAUCAGGAGGAACACCAAUGGCGAAGGCAGGACUCUGGGCCAUUACUGACACUGAGGAGCGAAAGCGUGGGGAGCGAACAGGAUUAGAUACCCUGGUAGUCCACGCCGUAAACGGUGGGCACUAGUUGUGGGGACCUUCCACGGUCUCUGCGACGCAGCUAACGCAUUAAGCGCCCCGCCUGGGGAGUACGAUCGCAAGAUUAAAACUCAAAUGAAUUGACGG